GGAGCGUUGGCCUAAUGGAUAAGGCAUCAGACUUCGGAUCUGAGGAUUGUGGGUUCGAAUCCCAUACGCUUCG
rnacentral:tRNA from 1 species